AGCCUGAACGCUGGCGGCGUGGCUAAGACAUGCAAGUCGUACGGUGUAGCAAUACACAGUGGCGAACGGGAGAGUAAUGAAUCGCUAAUGUACCCCGGACUCUGGGAUAGCUGCCCGAAAGGGCAGGUAAUACCAGAUAAUAUAACUUGAUCGCAUGAUCGAGUUCUCAAAGGUCCGCCGGUCUGGGAGCAGGCGAUUUCGUAUCAGCUAGUUGGUAGGGUAACGGCCUACCAAGGCGACGACGCGUAGCCGGACUGAGAGGUUGGCCGGCUCAUUGGGACUGAGACACUGCCCAGACUCCGUACGGGGGGCUGCAGUAACGAAUCUUCCGCAAUGCACGAAAGUGUGGACGGAGCGACGCCGCGUGUAGGAUGAACGCCCUUCGGGGUAGUAAACUACUGUCGAGGGUUAAGAAAGUCUGAUCAACCCAGAGGAAGGCACGGCUAACUCUGUGACCAGCAGCCGC
rnacentral:rRNA from 1 species